GGGCUUCAAAGGGGACCUCUCGACUUUUCACAGGGAGGAGAAGCGCUCCUCCUCCCCACCUCUCCAUCAUCCGGAGUCAGAGUUCUCACCCCUCCACCUCCUACCCUCUCCCCUCCCCAUGCUGCUAUCUAACUGCCACCUGCUCUUCCCCCACUACCAAUUCUGAGCGACUGCAGAGCCAGAAAGAAGCACCUCCUUGCAAACUCUUCUCCGGAUCUACAGCCCUUCCAGUCCCAAGGCUGCUUUCAACCUUUUCUUUAAAGUGAACCUCAAAACAUGGAGAGAUAGCCGGUGUCCUCCAGGAUACUGUUCCAGCCUCCAUGUGCCGUCUGCAGUUUGGAUUUGAGCAUGGUGACCUAAAUCCUAAUAAUGACAGUCAUGAUCCAAUGAUAAAAGCAGCUGAGUCUGUGCAUUCCUGAAUGACGGCAUUGGGAGGAGUCCACUGUGAGACUGCAAUCGAGCCGCUGCAAUUGCCUCCUCACCAAACAUUCAGUGGAUUGCUUUCCAGAGUACACAUUUCUAAUUUUAUAAAGCAAAUCAGCGGGGGAAUGGGAUUUACUUUACACGGUGUACUUUAUUGGCAGCUCCCUGGAACACAUCUAUUUCAUAAAAGUAAAGGAUAGCCGUCUUGCAUCUGAUCCAAACUUCAAGAGGGAUGUGGG
rnacentral:lncRNA from 1 species